UUGUUAUCUCUUAUCGUAUCGUCGGUCCGCGGUCGUGCGGUGAAAACUUCAGAUUCACAAAAUAUUAUAAAAUUAAAAAUAAUCUUUAUUCUAUUGAUCUAUGUCCUGUGUAUAAAGGCUUUCUUUACAGGUCUAUGGAAUAGACUGUUCGCGAAUUUAAGAAACGAUUCAGGAAUAAUAUUUUUCUCUAAAAAACUGUGCUUACAUUCCAAUUUAGGUUAUAUACAGUAAUUAAUAAAAAAAUGUUUGCUAGACCUGGACCAGCAGUGAAGCCAAAACCUAGAACCACAUUAGAAAUGGUGAAACUCAUUUACCAAGACGAAGACAUUUGGAAUGUGGUAAAGAGCGUUGCAUUUUUCAUUACCGCUGUCAAGUUUACCAGAGGAUUCCAGGGGGUUGACCUGGUACGAUGAUACGUUUUUCUCCUCCUUUACACAUUGAGUAAUAAGUUUGAAUGAAUUUAAUGUAAUAUACUACUUUUCAUGUGCAUAUAAAUAAAAUGAUGUCACAUAGUUUGACAAUAUA